rnacentral:tRNA from 1 species
GUGCGGGGUGGAGCAGUUGGUAGCUCGUUGGGCUCAUAACCCAAAGGUCACUGGUUCGAGUCCAGUCCCGCUACC